UUUAUUUCAAAAAAAUUUCCUGGUGAAGAUUGGAGAAAUGCAGCUGUAAUUACAGAAAAUGAUGAAGUUAGUAUUUGAACCCCAUCUCUAUUUCUACAAAUAUAAAUUGUUCUGUAUCAGUGUACUUUGACCAUGUUCUCAUUUCAGGAUGCUCUCUAUGAAAGAGAUGCUGCCAGUGACAUCCCACAUGAAUCAGAACAUGAAGUUGAAGAAUCAAAUCGUGAUACUCAUGCUCCACCAAACACUGUGCAGGUGAUGUUUGUAGUAUUUUGAUGCCGUGUUGUUUUUUUAUCUCUCAACACUAGAUGCAUUCUUUUUUAUUAGUUGUUGCCAAUGUUAAAAUCAAUUGUUCAUCGUAAGUUGCAGGGACUGCAUCCUAGCAACUGUACAAAAACCAAAGUGGGUCACACCAAUUUUACUUUACCAGAUGAAUACAUGGUGGAAAAGGUGUGUGGAGUAAUUUGUACUUAUCUACCAAGCCAUUAAAUUUUUGUAUAAGCUUUCUUACAACUAAACUGAAUCAAUUGUAGGAAGCGCAUAAUCAAAAAUGUGACAAGGCAAAUCAGAGUUUUAC
rnacentral:lncRNA from 1 species